UACGGAGGUGCAAGCGUUACCCGGAAUCACUGGGCGUAAAGGGCGUGUAGGCGGAUCACUCAGUCGUGGUUUAAAGACCGGGCUCACCCGGGCAUGGACUGGACUACUGGUGAUCUUGACCUCUGGAGAGGUAGCUGGAAUUCCUGGUGUAGCGGUGGAAGUGCGUAGAGUACCAGGAGGAACGACCAAUGGCGAAGGCAGGCUGACUG
rnacentral:rRNA from 1 species